rnacentral:rRNA from 1 species
GACGAACGCUGGCGGCGUGCUUAACACAUGCAAGUCGAACGGAAAGGCCCUGCUUUUGUGGGGUGCUCGAGUGGCGAACGGGUGCGUAACACGUGAGUAACCUGCCCUUGACUUUGGGAUAACUUCAGGAAACGGGGGCUAAUACCGGAUAGGAGCCCCUGCUGCAGGGUGGGGGGUGGAAAGUUGCUGCGGGUGGGGAUGGACUCGCGGCUUAUCAGCUUGUUGGUGGGGGAGUGGCGUACCAAGGCAUUGGCGGGUAGCCGGCCUGAGAGGGUGACCGGCCUCCUGGCUCCUGCGAGACGGCCCAGUCUGCAACGGUGGGCAGCAGUGGGGAGUAUGGUCCAGCGAGCCGGAGCCUGAGACAGCGGCGUCGCGGUCGUGAUGCCGGCCUUUUGGUUGUGAACCGCUGUAGCUUGUGACGCAGCUUGAGUGACGGUACCGGGUAAAGAAGCACCGGCUAACUACGUG